rnacentral:rRNA from 1 species
ACAGCAGUCGCGCGGUAAUACGUAGGGUGCAAGCGUUAAUCGGAAUUACUGGGCGUAAAGCGUGCGCAGGCGGUUAUAUAAGACAGAUGUGAAAUCCCCGGGCUCAACCUGGGAACUGCAUUUGUGACUGUAUAGCUAGAGUACGGCAGAGGGGGAUGGAAUUCCGCGUGUAGCAGUGAAAUGCGUAGAUAUGCGGAGGAACACCGAUGGCGAAGGCAAUCCCCUGGGCCUGUACUGACGCUCAUGCACGAAAGCGUGGGGAGCAAACAGGAUUAGAUACCCCCGUAGUCCCUGUCUCUUAUACA